UUCGAAAAGCUCAUCCCUGACGCAUGAGCAGUGCGACAAGCUCACGGUCUUAACGUGGUUGACAUGGUGAGCGCAAGCGCUAAGUUUCGGGGCCGGAGAGGAUCUGAAGCGCCAUUGUUCUGCGUUGCAGUACGAUACGAUUGUUACCAUAAGAACGUUUGAAUGGGAAAAGAGGAAGACGCCUCAGUGAACUGGUUUGGUGAAGAGGCAACAGGUGCUUACUCCACUGUGGGUGAACUCAAAGCUACAGCAUGUCAUUCAGUGUGGUUAGCCUUCAUCCUGGGUGCCCAGCCUCACGCCUCCAAUUUCCACUUCUGCCCGGCUGAAGGCUCCUCAGAGACGCUUGGUUGGAGCUCUGGGCCACUGGGCCUCUGGACCUCUGAGUCCUCCACUUCUGUGCAUUGGAUAGAGACAGAGGGAGCUUCUUUACCCAGCCCUACCCAUUCUUGGCCCCAGUCCGCCUCACCAUACACUCCCACCUGCUCGAUACCUCAGAAGAGCUUUCAAGUGCUCUUUGAAAGGGAAAAAAGCAGAAAGGGAAGAAAUCAGAGACUGUACUCUUCCAGGCACUCAAUAGCAUGGCACUAGGCUCUCUCAGCUCCCAUGACACCACUCUCCCGCCCUCUCCUCUGUUCUUGGGUGUUUCACUCAAUUUAUUUUUCUGUAUUUUUUUCACUUUGCUUUCUCACUCUUACUGCCUCUUACAGCCUCGGACUGCCUUCUGUUUCUUCUUCUGGCAUUUUCUUAGUCUUAGAACUGCCUUAGCCAUAAACCAGGCCCCUACAUUUACAGCCUACACACAGAAAAAGGGACAGUGAGAGAGAUGGCAAAUACGUGCAUGUGGAAAAAUAAUUGUAAAGGCCCACUAGAACAGAAUGAGCAAUACGUCUAUCACAUCUUUAUAAUACUGUUGUAAUUUUAGCAGUUGACGGAGAAUCAUAGCUUCCACAAAAACCUGCUCAGUUGCACCUCAAGGAGUAAAUCCUCUAAUGACCACUGCCCACUGGCCAACAAAGCAAAGGACCCAGUGCUGAAGUGAAAUAAAAUAUUGCCGUCAGGCUAUAAAGAAAA